CCUGUCGUGGCGCAGCAGAAGCGAAUCCGACUAGGAAUGGUGAGGUUGUGGGUUUGAUCCCCGGCCUUGCUCAGUGGGUUAAGGAUCCAGCGUUGCCAUGAGCUGUGGUGUAGGUUGACGAGGCUCGGAUCCUGCAUUGCUGUGGCUCUGGCAUAGGCCAGCAGCUGUAGCUCUGAUUAGACCCCCUAGUCUGGCAUCCUCCAUAUGCUGCAGGUAUGGCCCUAAAAAGACAGAAGACAAAAAAAAAAAAAAAAAAAAAAAAAAAGAGCAUCUCCUAUAAGAAUCUUCACUACUACAAAAAGGAGACAACAUUUCUCUCCUCUUGCUCAUCAUUCAGAACCCCUGAGAGAAUCACCGGCCUGAAUGUUUGAAAUAAAUUCAAGUUGGAAAGGUGGCCAGGACAGUGGUAGGAGAUGGACCAGGGUCUCCUUGGUCUACCUGGAGGGACAAGCCAGCUCCACACUAAUGAUUCUGAUGGCCAUGAACAUCAAACCUCAGUGCCAAGUGGCUGAAACAGAGGAGGAAGAGGAGAAGACAAAGCUCCCCCUUUCCAGCUGGAGGUGAGGCUAAACUGAUAUAGUUUGGAGAUGGUGUGAUGCUGAGGAACAUGAGAAUGAAACCAACCCAGGGAAGAGCAUGGCACCAAGCAGGGACAUGGAGAAAGGUGGGUCCUGGGGACAGUGUUCCCAACCAUACCUGAAGCCAGCAAUAGCCCUGGACUUUGCAGUUCUGAGCCUGUGCAUUCCUUUUUGGCUUGAGAUGAUGGGGGUGUGGCAUUGGUUUUGUUUUUUGUUUUUUGUUUUCUGUUACUUGUUAUGGGAAUUGUCCUAACUGAUAUUAUACCACUGGCAAACUCAGACCAGAAAUCUAGUUUCCCAGGUUGAUCUCCACAGUAGCAUAUAUCAGUCAGAGAUAUAGAUUUUUUUAAAGCUAGAAAAGAACCCAUUGAGUUCUUGUCCAGCACACUUUCUUUAUGAGUUAAGGUCUACAGUGUUUCAGAAAAGGGCCUACUCAUAGGUGACAAGCUAUCAAGCUAUCAAG
rnacentral:lncRNA from 1 species